rnacentral:rRNA from 1 species
UGGGGAAUAUUGCACAAUGGGCGCAAGCCUGAUGCAGCCAUGCCGCGUGUGUGAAGAAGGCCUUCGGGUUGUAAAGCACUUUCAGCGAGGAGGAAGGUGGUGAGCUUAAUACGCUCAUCAAUUGACGUUACUCGCAGAAGAAGCACCGGCUAACUCCGUGCCAGCAGCCGCGGUAAUACGGAGGGUGCAAGCGUUAAUCGGAAUUACUGGGCGUAAAGCGCACGCAGGCGGUUUGUUAAGUCAGAUGUGAAAUCCCCGGGCUCAACCUGGGAACUGCAUUUGAAACUGGCAAGCUAGAGUCUCGUAGAGGGGGGUAGAAUUCCAGGUGUAGCGGUGAAAUGCGUAGAGAUCUGGAGGAAUACCGGUGGCGAAGGCGGCCCCCUGGACGAAGACUGACGCUCAGGUGCGAAAGCGUGGGGAGCAAACAGAUUAGAUACCCUGGUAGUCACGCUGUAAACGAUGUCGAUUUUGGAGGUUGUGCCCCUUGAGGCGUGG